UGCACCUCUCAAGGGCUUUGAAAAUGCUGCAAGGGACAGAUGACAAAGGGACAAGAUACCUAAUUUACAUGGAUUCUAAACAGGCAGAGGUUCAGUAGCUGAGGACUGCCAAGGCCUGAUUCGCCUUUUAGUGGGACAUGCCUUGCCAUCCAAGAGAGGAAAAAUGCAGGACGUGAGAGAACAAGACAGAAGCAGGCGCAUGCAACAGUUUCCAUUCUUCCUUGUACAAGAGAGCAGCAGACGCUCCAGCCCUUUGCUGUUACUGCUUCAAAUCUUUCCAAGAAGCCUUGGCAAAAUUCUCACAGUCUUUCAUUGACUCUAAAGAAGUACCCUACCAGACUCUAAAUCUAUCCCCAUGAAAAGGCAGUGGAUGUGCUUCUGGAUCAGGCCAUAGGUCUCUCCCUGAGUUUGGAGCUCACUGAUGGAGUUUGGUCUCAGCGCGGAUCCCACUGCUUUUGCUUCUUACAGCAGAAGUAGGGGCUGAGCUUGUGGAGGAAGGCAGCCAAAAGCGGACCCCAGCCUCACAGACCCUCACAGCCACUCACAGUAGUACGGCCUGUUCCUGGUCUUGAACAUCUUGGGAUUGGAAAUUUGACUGGGGCGACAUGGGCCUGGGUACGGAGCAGUCUACUGAGGAAGCCUCAGGAUCCCAGAGAAGGAAGGAAAAGUGCCCAGCCCUCAGAAGCCACACACAUAGGCACCCUUAGCCUGGCUGGUACCGAGAGCAUGCCUCGUCUCUCAGCGGAGAGGGAGAGAACUGGAAGCAUCAUCGCUGAAGCCUAAGGACACGAGCUCGACACCUGGUGAGGUGUGGCCACAGAGCCAAGGAAGGAGAGGAAGAUGAAGAUGCUGCUUUGAAAGGAAUCACCUACGAAGGUGUACAGACAACAUGCCAGCAGGGAACAGUGUUCGGGAUCUAAUAUGGAGCACAUAGGCCUGAAGACAGAAAAUAUUCAACAGCAUUGAAAAUGCAAAUUAUAUAAGCAACAGGAAUGAAGAAGGCUAUCUGGGGUGAGGGCUGGGCCCGGUGUUGGUGGUUGAUCCCCACAGGAUUGGGUCCUGAACCCACAAUGUCCUGUACUUGCUGAGUAUGGAAUAUCUUUUACCAUAGUAAAGACUACCAUUGUCUUCACUUGAAAUAUGAGAAA